GAGUUUCAUCAGUAGAGUGUGUCCUGGUAAAUGUGUGCUCGGAAACAUGCAGAUUACAGUAUUUACAGAGCCGACCUUGAGGCACCCACUGAUUGAUAAUCUGUUUACCUAAAAACAGCCCACCACAAUCCAUGUUUACCAGCUGUGAAAGUGCAGGCCAAAAAUCUUCCUUCACCUGUGGGCCUCUACCCACAUGUAGAUAAGCACUUCAGGAGAAACCUGCCUGUGAUCUGCUAAGAUGCACAGAUUCAACUCUGGCCCAUUGUCAUCCCAACACCUCAUCUGCCAUCAGUUUCGUUUAGUGUCGGUCUAUUGCAAAAGUUCUUAUAAACUUUAAAUGAGACUUUGUGUUAAGCAGGGGUUUCCAAACUUUUCAUUCCACAACAUAUUAAGCCCAGGAUACACAGCAGGAUUUUUGCAAUCCAAUAAGACCUUAUCACACUGUGUGACAAGGAUUGUUUAAACUUCAGCAGUAGACUGUCGAUGAAGACACCUAUUGCAUCUGAAGCUGAGACAUCUGUCAUCAGCAUGCGCUAGUGGUAAACAAAUACAGGUUUGCAGAUCGUA